rnacentral:ncRNA from 2 species
UACAGAGGUCCCAAGCGUUGUUCGGAUUCACUGGGCGUAAAGGGUGCGUAGGCGGUCGGGUAAGUUUGAUGUGAAAGCUCUGGGCUCAACCCAGAAAUGGCAUUGAAUACUAUUCGGCUAGAGAGUCGGAGGGGGGACUGGAAUACUUGGUGUAGCAGUGAAAUGCGUAGAUAUCAAGUGGAACACCAGUGGCGAAGGCGAGUCCCUGGACGAUUUCUGACGCUGAGGCACGAAAGCUAGGGGAGCAAACAGG